rnacentral:rRNA from 1 species
GACGAACGCUGGCGGAGUGCCUAAUACAUGCAAGUCGAACGAGAGCGUCCGGUGCUUGCACCUAUCAAAGUAGGGGCGGACGGGAGCGUGAAACGUGCGUAACCUGCCGAUAAGAGGGAGAUACCAUACGGAAACGGAUGCUAAGACCACAUCAGUCUUCGAGCCGCAUGGCUUGAUGAGGAAAAGAGGCGCAAGCUUCUGUUGCUGGAUGGUACCGCGGUGCAUGAGCGAGUUGGUGAGGUAACGGCUCACGAAGGCCGGGAUGCAGAGCCGGCCUGGGAAGGAGAGGGACCCCACCGGGACGGAGGCACGGCCCAAACGCCUACGAGAGGCAGCAGUUGCGAAUCCUGCGCGAUGCACGCAAGACUGACGGAGCAUCGCCGCGUGAGUGAAGAAGGUAUUCGGAGUGUAAAACGCUGUUUUUAGGGUAGAACAAGGGUUAGAGUAACGAAGAGCAACAUGACGGUACCUACACAAAAAGCCACGGCUAACUACGUG